rnacentral:precursor_RNA from 13 species
AGGAUCCCAGCUCAUCUAUGGCACGGUGUGAGGAGGGCACAUGUGGUACAGUGUGAUAGUGGAAUAUGCUGCAUCAUAUGUGACCUCUCUGCACCGCACUGUGUCUCUUUGUCUGGAGAUU